GAUGAAGAACGCAGCGAAAUGCGAUAAGUAAUGCGAAUUGCAGAAUUCAGUGAGUCAUCGAAUCUUUGAACGCACAUUGCGCCCUGUGGUAUUCCGCAGGGCAUGCCUGUUCGAGCGUCAUUUCAACCCUCAAGCCCCGCUUGGUGUUGGGCCCCGCCCGCUGUGGCCGGCCCUAAAGACAGUGGCGGCGCCGCCUGGCCCUCAGCGUAGUACAUCUCUCGCUCCAGGGUCCGGUGGCCGCCUGCCAGAACCCCCCAACUCUGUGGUUGACCUCGGAUCAGGUAGGGAUACCCGCUGAACUUAAGCAUAUCAAUAAGCGAAGGA
rnacentral:misc_RNA from 1 species